CCUACGGGAGGCAGCAGUAGGGAAUCUUCCACAAUGGGCGAAAGCCUGAUGGAGCAACGCCGCGUGGGUGAAGAAGGUCUUCGGAUCGUAAAACCCUGUUGUUAGAGAAGAAAGUGCGUGAGAGUAACUGUUCACGUUUCGACGGUAUCUAACCAGAAAGGCACGGCUAACUACGUCCCAGCAGCCGCGGUAAUACGUAGGUGGCAAGCGUUAUCCGGAUUUAUUGGGCGUAAAGGGAACGCGGGCGGUCUUUUAAGUCUGAUGUGAAAGCCUUCGGCUUAACCGGAGUAGUGCAUUGGAAACUGGGAGACUUGAGUGCAGAAGAGGAGAGUGGAACUCCAUGUGUAGCGGUGAAAUGCGUAGAUAUAUGGAAGAACACCAGUGGCGAAAGCGGCUCUCUGGUCUGUAACUGACGCUGAGGUUCGAAAGCGUGGGUAGCAAACAGGAUUAGAUACCCUUGUAGUC
rnacentral:rRNA from 1 species